GGAGCAUACCCUGGAAACGAGGAUUAAUACUCCAUGGCUAUCAUGAAUUCGCAUGUUUUCAUGAUUAAAGAAUUUCGGUAUGAGAUGGGCAUGCGUCCCAUUAGCUAGGUUUGGUGAAGGGGUUUUAACGGCCCUCCACCAAGGCGACGAUGGGUAGGGGGCCUGAGAGGGUGGUCCCCCACACUGGUACUGAGACACGGACCAGACUCCUACGGGCAAGGCAGCAGUGAGGAAUAUUGGUCAAUGGAGGCAACUCUGAACCAGCCAUGCCGCGUGAAGGAUGACGGCCCUAUGGGUUGUAAACUUCUUUUAUAUGGGAAGAAACUUAUCUACGUGUAGAUCACUGACGGUACCAUACGAAUAAGGAUCGGCUAACUCCGUGCCAGCAGCCGCGGUAAUACGGAGGAUCCAAGCGUUAUCCGGAUUCAUUGGGUUUAAAGGGUCCGUACGCGGAUUUUUAAGUCAGUGGUGAAAGCCGACAGCUCAACUGUCGAACUGGCAUUGAUACUGGAAAUCUUGAGUACAAAUGAAGUAAGCGGAAUGAGUCAUGUAGCGGUGAAAUGGCUAGAUUUGACUCAGAACACCAUUGCAAAGCAGGUUUCUAACUGUAAUGACGCCAGGGCGAAACCUGGGGAACAACAGG
rnacentral:rRNA from 1 species